UACAGAGGUGGCAAGCGUUGUUCGGAAUUACUGGGCGUAAAGCGCACGUAGGCGGAUUUGUAAGUCAGGGGUGAAAUCCCGGGGCUCAACCCCGGAACUGCCUUUGAUACUGCGAAUCUCGAGUCCGGAAGAGGUGAGUGGAAUUCCUAGUGUAGAGGUGAAAUUCGUAGAUAUUAGGAAGAACACCAGUGGCGAAGGCGGCUCACUGGCCCGAUACUGACGCUGAGGCACGAAAGCGUGGGGAGCAAACAGG
rnacentral:rRNA from 1 species